rnacentral:rRNA from 1 species
GACGAACGCUGGCGGCGUGCCUAAUACAUGCAAGUCGAGCGAAUCGAUGGGAGCUUGCUCCCUGAGAUUAGCGGCGGACGGGUGAGUAACACGUGGGUAACCUGCCUGUAAGACUGGGAUAACUUCGGGAAACCGGAGCUAAUACCGGAUACUUUCUUUUCUCGCAUGAGGGAAGAUGGAAAGAUGGUUCUGCUAUCACUUACAGAUGGACCCGCGGCGCAUUAGCUAGUUGGUGAGGUAACGGCUCACCAAGGCAACGAUGCGUAGCCGACCUGAGAGGGUGAUCGGCACACUGGGACUGAGACACGGCCCAGACUCCUACGGGAGUCAGCAGUAGGGAAUCUUCCGCAAUGGACGAAAGUCUGACGGAGCAACGCCGCGUGAGCGAAGAAGGCCUUCGGGUCGUAAAGCUCUGUUGUUAGGGAAGAACAAGUACGAGAGUAACUGCUCGUACCUUGACGGUACCUAACCAGAAAGCCACGGCUAACUACGUGCCAGCCGCCGCCGUAAUAC